GGGCUCGUAGCUCAGUGGCAGAGCGGUCGGCUCAUAACCGAUUGGUCGUAGGUUCGAAUCCUGCCGGGCCCACCA
rnacentral:tRNA from 1 species